UACCAGCACCCCGAGCGGUCGGGACGAUUAUUGGGCCUAAAGCAUCCGUAGCCGGUUCUACAAGUCUUACGUUAAAUCCACCUGCUUAACAGAUGGGCUGCGGAGGAUACUAUGGAGCUAGGAGGCGGGAGAGGCAAGCGGUACUUAGUGGGUAGGGGUAAAAUCCGUUGAUCCAUUGAAGACCACCAGUGGCGAAGGCGGCUUGCCAGAACGCACUCGACGGUGAGGGAUGAAAGCUGGGGGAGCAAACCGG
rnacentral:rRNA from 1 species